rnacentral:lncRNA from 1 species
GAUGCUGAAAUCACUGCACCUUAAAAACAAAAAGAUUAAGCCACACUGCAUUCCUGUCACUUUGUGAACCAGAGAGAGGGGUGCUAAGAAUCCCAAGGAAGGAGGAGAGCCAGAUCUCUGCUCAGCAUAGAGAAGAAUGCUGGAAUUUUUGGACUGUGCAUCUGUUUAGGCACGUGGAGAAAGACAAGACUGAGAUCAUCAAAUUGGGAAGUCUCUGAUACUGUGUCAGCUCUCCUGACUGCCAUCUCUGUGGGCUGGUUACAAAUCCGAUUCUGGGUGCCCAUCUGAGUCCAGCUGCUUGCAAAGGGAACAAACAGUUGAAGGUAAUGACAGUGUGAGUGUAAAGCUAAUAUUAGUUAAUAUUAGUGUAUUCUCUUUAUUUGUUACUUCUUAGAUUUGAUUUAAAAGGGACCUUCCCUUAGAAGAACACAUUCUGGUUAUUGCUUUGCAUCUUUUCUUAUCCUGUAUAACACCCAUAACACACUAUCUAUUUUUCUUCCUCAUGUAGAAGCUGUAUACUUAAAUAGUGAAAUUCUUCUGGCAGCAGUCUUGUCAAGGGCCACAAUGUGGUAGAUGCCUUGGGAACAUUUUACUUUAUAGAUUACUGCUUCGUCUAAGUUUAAAUUCUUCAGGAUUGGCCUAAAUCAGUUUCAGUGAGAGCACUCCACAAAAGAAAAACAUGAAUAUAAG